rnacentral:rRNA from 1 species
AGUGAACGCUGGCGGCAGGCCUAACACAUGCAAGUCGAGCGGAAGAAGAGUGAGUGCUCGUUCAUACGGGUGGGGACGGGCGGGUAAGGGCGGAGAAUAUGGCUAGUUACUGUGGAUAAGGGGCGAACGCGGGGGAUAAUACGGUAAUAGUGCAUACGAAGAACGGGGGGGAGCAUGGGACCUUCGGAUCUUAGACGAUCCAAUGUCGGAUUAGCUAGUUGGUGGGGUAAAGGCCUACCAAGGCGACGAUCCGAAACUGGUCUGAGAGGAUGAUCAGCCACACUGGAACUGAGACACGGUCCAGACUCCUACGGGAGGCAGCAGUGGGGAAUAUUGGACAAUGGGCGCAAGCCUGAUCCAGCCAUGCCGCGUGUGUGAAGAAGGUCUUCGGAUUGUAAAGCCCUUUUGGUUGGGAAGAAAAGCAGUAAGUUAAUACCUUGCUGUUUUGACGUUACCCAAAGAAUAAGCACCGGCUAACUUCGUG